ensembl:snRNA U6 U6 spliceosomal RNA
CAUUUACUAAAUGGAAUACUAAAAUUGGAAUGAUACAGAGAGGAUUAGCAUGGCCCCUGUGCAAGGAUGACACGCAAAUUCAUGAAGUGUUCCAUAUUUUU